UUUAGCAGCCCUUUGUCCCCCACAGUCAGGACGAAUCGCCCCCUUCUUGAGUGUUGGUUCAGCGGCACAGAGGGCCUGUCGUGUCCAGGGAAGGAACACUGACCUUGGUGUUACCAGCACCACGCUCUAACCACUGAGCUGACGGCCUCCUCACAUUUCUACCCGCUGCCUCCCGGCUGCUGCCCCAGUGCUGGUGCUGCAACGCGUCUUCACGAGGCCAUUGCACACGUCUGCAAAGCCAGCAGCUCCUGAGUGAGGGACAAUCCCAUGGUGAAUCAAUGAAUUCCACAGGCCCAGUGUCACGCUAUUUACCUCAAAUAAACCGAGGAAAGUCCGGCAUCUCAGCUUCAGUCAGUGUAGACCACCUGCGGGUCCAAGUUUCAACGAACCAACUGAGAAACCCUAAGAACCACUCCCAGCGGCUUGAGAUGACACAAAGAACCCAGAACCUCCACUUAGCACACCCACUGCAUCAGUCAGUUUGGCCAGAUCCAGCGCGUAUUCCCUCCUUUGUGACGUGACACCCUUAGGGGCCACUCCCGUAUCUACUUCCUGUUGGUAUAAGUUGGCAACAUUCUGCAAUUCUGGUGCAUAUGAUGGCCCACUUUGGGUUUUUUUAAAAAAAAUACUAGUCUACAUUUAUUUUUAUUUAUUUGUUUUUACUGAAACAUAAUUGAUUGUACGUAUCUGGGGGGUACCGCCCUGAAUAUCAAUACCUGUGUUCAGUAUGUGAUGCUCAAACCAGGAUAAUUAGUCUAUUCAACAUUACACGAUGUAAUUAUUUUUUGUGGCCCUUUACCAAUUUCUUGCUAACCCUUCUCCUUCCCCUUUUCUCAGCUCUGGUAACCUCAGUUCUGUUCUCUCCUUUUGAAAGUUCAAUGCAUUAUUGUGAUUGUUGUAUCUUUCUUUUUUAUUUAUUUCCUUUUUUCUUUUUUU